rnacentral:antisense_RNA from 1 species
ACAUGGGUCUGCAGCUACUGAGCUGACAGCAAGGACUAAAAUGGGAGCACUGUAGAGGAAAAAAAUUUUCAGCCUGACCAAUAUGGAGAAACCCCAUCUCUACUAAAAAUACAGAAUUAGAGGAGAGAAGGUUCCAAGAUGGCCAAAUAGGAACAGCUCCAGUCUACAGCUCCCAGCGUGAGCAACGCAGAAGACGGGUGACUUCUGCACUUCCAACUGAGGAUAUAUGAUUGUGUGGCCUGACAAUCUCAGAAAGUAAAAGCAAAGAAAUUGAAAGACAUGGAAAGAACUAGGCCGGGACCAGCACUGGGCCUUAAUAACCAGUUCACUGAGAUGGGUGCAUUUCUUCUCAUCUCAGAGGAUGUUUCUCUUCCACAGGAAGAGGAAGGAACCAGUUGUUACUGGAUGUGUGGGCUGAGAGCUGUCGGGCAUUUU